AGAGUUUGAUCCUGGCUCAGGACGAACGCUGGCGGCAUGCCUAACACAUGCAAGUCGAACGGCAGCACAGUAGAGCUUGCUCUAUGGGUGGCGAGUGGCGGACGGGUGAGUAAUGCAUCGGGAUCUACCCAAACGUGGGGGAUAACGUAGGGAAACUUACGCUAAUACCGCAUACGUCCUAUGGGAGAAAGCGGGGGAUC
rnacentral:rRNA from 1 species